rnacentral:piRNA from 1 species
UGUGUCUCAGGAGGGACUUACGUUCCGCUCC